UACGAAGGGGGCUAGCGUUGUUCGGAAUUACUGGGCGUAAAGCGCGCGCAGGCGGCUAUCCAAGUCAGUGGUGAAAGCCCGGAGCUCAACUCCGGAACUGCCAUUGAAACUGUUUAGCUUGAGGAUGAGAGAGGUGAGUGGAAUUCCCAGUGUAGAGGUGAAAUUCGUAGAUAUUCGCAAGAACACCAGUGGCGAAGGCGGCUCACUGCCCGGUACUGACGCUGAGGCACGAAAGCCAGGGGAGCAAACGGG
rnacentral:rRNA from 1 species